rnacentral:rRNA from 1 species
ACGGGAGGCAGCAGUGGGGGAUAUUGCACAAUGGGGGAAACCCUGAUGCAGCGACGCCGCGUGAGUGAAGAAGUAUUUCGGUAUGUGAAGCUCUAUCAGCAGGAAAGAUAAUGACGGUACCUGACUAAGAAGCACCGGCUAAAUACGUGCCAGCAGCCGCGGUAAUACGUAUGGUGCAAGCGUUAUCCGGAUUUACUGGGUGUAAAGGGAGCGCAGACGGCAUGGCAAGCCAGAUGUGAAAGGCAGGGGCUCAACUCCUGGACUGCAUUUGGAACUGUCAAGCUAGAGUAUCGGAGAGGUAAGUGGAAUUCCUAGUGUAGCGGUGAAAUGCGUAGAUAUUAGGAGGAACACCAGUGGCGAAGGCGGCUUACUGGACGAUAACUGACGUUGAGGCUCGAAAGCGUGGGGAGCAAACAGGAUUAGAUACCCUGGUA